rnacentral:rRNA from 1 species
ACUGCGAAGAGCUUGCUCUUCAAAGUUAGUGGCGGACGGGUGAGUAACGCGUGGGUAACCUGCCUUAUACUGGGGAAUAACACAGAGAAAUCUGUGCUAAAACCGCAUAAGCUUACAGCGAUGAAUGUCGCAGUAAGAAAAACUCCGGUGGUAUAAGAUGGGCCCGCGUCCGAUUAGCUAGUUGGUGAGAUAACAGCUCACCAAGGCAACGAUCGGUAACCGGCCUGAGAGGGUGACCGGUCACACUGGGACUGAGACACGGCCCAGACUCC